AGAGUUUGAUCAUGGCUCAGAUUGAACGCUGGCGGCAGGCCUAACACAUGCAAGUCGAACGGUAACAGGAAGCAGCUUGCUGCUUUGCUGACGAGUGGCGGACGGGUGAGUAAUGUCUGGGAAACUGCCUGAUGGAGGGGGAUAACUACUGGAAACGGUGGCUAAUACCGCAUAAUGUCGCAAGACCAAAGAGGGGGACCUUCGGGCCUCUUGCCAUCAGAUGUGCCCAGAUGGGAUUAGCUUGUUGGUGAGGUAACGGCUCACCAAGGCGACGAUCCCUAGCUGGUCUGAGAGGAUGACCAGCCACACUGGAACUGAGACACGGUCCAGACUCCUACGGGAGGCAGCAGUGGGGAAUAUUGCACAAUGGGCGCAAGCCUGAUGCAGCCAUGCCGCGUGUAUGAAGAAGGCCUUCGGGUUGUAAAGUACUUUCAGCGGGGAGGAAGGUGUUGUGGUUAAUAACCGCAGCAAUUGACGUUACCCGCAGAAGAAGCACCGGCUAACUCCGUGCCAGCAGCCGCGGUAAUACGGAGGGUGCAAGCGUUAAUCGGAAUUACUGGGCGUAAAGCGCACGCAGGCGGUCUGUCAAGUCGGAUGUGAAAUCCCCGGGCUCAACCUGGGAACUGCAUUCGAAACUGGCAGGCUUGAGUCUUGUAGAGGGGGGUAGAAUUCCAGGUGUAGCGGUGAAAUGCGUAGAGAUCUGGAGGAAUACCGGUGGCGAAGGCGGCCCCCUGGACAAAGACUGACGCUCAGGUGCGAAAGCGUGGGGAGCAAACAGGAUUAGAUACCCUGGUAGUCCACGCCGUAAACGAUGUCUACUUGGAGGUUGUGCCCUUGAGGCGUGGCUUCCGGAGCUAACGCGUUAAGUAGACCGCCUGGGGAGUACGGCCGCAAGGUUAAAACUCAAAUGAAUUGACGGGGGCCCGCACAAGCGGUGGAGCAUGUGGUUUAAUUCGAUGCAACGCGAAGAACCUUACCUGGUCUUGACAUCCACAGAACUUUCCAGAGAUGGAUUGGUGCCUUCGGGAACUGUGAGACAGGUGCUGCAUGGCUGUCGUCAGCUCGUGUUGUGAAAUGUUGGGUUAAGUCCCGCAACGAGCGCAACCCUUAUCCUUUGUUGCCAGCGGUUAGGCCGGGAACUCAAAGGAGACUGCCAGUGAUAAACUGGAGGAAGGUGGGGAUGACGUCAAGUCAUCAUGGCCCUUACGACCAGGGCUACACACGUGCUACAAUGGCGCAUACAAAGAGAAGCGACCUCGCGAGAGCAAGCGGACCUCAUAAAGUGCGUCGUAGUCCGGAUUGGAGUCUGCAACUCGACUCCAUGAAGUCGGAAUCGCUAGUAAUCGUGGAUCAGAAUGCCACGGUGAAUACGUUCCCGGGCCUUGUACACACCGCCCGUCACACCAUGGGAGUGGGUUGCAAAAGAAGUAGGUAGCUUAACCUUCGGGAGGGCGCUUACCACUUUGUGAUUCAUGACUGGGGUGAAGUCGUAACAAGGUAACCGUAGGGGAACCUGCGGUUGGAUCACCU
rnacentral:rRNA from 1 species